rnacentral:rRNA from 1 species
GAUGAACGCUGGCGGCGUGCUUAACACAUGCAAGUCGAACGGUGAAGCAGGAGCUUGCUCCUGUGGAUCAGUGGCGAACGGGUGAGUAACACGUGAGCAAUCUGCCCUGGACUCUGGGAUAAGCGUUGGAAACGACGUCUAAUACCGGAUACGAGGCGUGGGGGCAUCCCCAACGCCUGGAAAGAACUUCGGUCCAGGAUGAGCUCGCGGCCUAUCAGGUAGUUGGUGAGGUAACGGCUCACCAAGCCGACGACGGGUAGCCGGCCUGAGAGGGUAACCGGCCACACUGGGACUGAGACACGGCCCAGGCUCCUACGGUAGUCAGCAGUGGGGAAUAUUGCACAAUGGGCGAAAGCCUGAUGCAGCAACGCCGCGUGAGGGACGACGGCCUUCGGGUUGUAAACCUCUUUUAGUAGGGAAGAAGCGAAAGUGACGGUACCUGCAGAAAAAGCACCGGCUAACUACGUGCCAGCCGCCGCAGUAAAAC